ACAGGCUUUUAUUUUUCAUGAAUUGAAUUUACAAUGUAUUUGCUUGUCAUCUAGGAAUCGUACAUUUGAUGUAACUAUUAUUAGUUUUUCUGCAGGAUCUGGACUUAUAAACAUCUGAGAGACGAAUGAAGAAGGUUUAAGUAUAGAGCUAAGGAGACAUUGUUUUAGUAUACAUGUAGAUUUAGUAUAGAUAUAGUAUAAUUAUGUUAACCACGUCACUGAAUACUGUAAUCAUGAUUAGUCAGUUCUGGUCAACUGUAGUUCCUAUCUACCAAUGGCGACGUAAAAUCUUUUUCAAAGAGGAUCUAUAAGGAGGCACUAUAGUGAAGACUGCUCCCAUCCAGAGUACACAAGCAUAUUAGUUACCCAUUAAAGAUCCAGUAUUCGUCUGAAUCUUCUGUGAAAUUGUCACAAAAAGGAGCGUAUGCCUCCAGAGGAUCCUGUGGCGAGGCACCAAUUGACUGAAAAGCCUUAGUGUCACUGAGCUUUAAAACUUUACGUACUCCUACAAAAUAGGUAUGGUGCAAGAGUUUUAUUCAAAUCGACGCAUCUCUGCUAAUGAAUAAGGAGUAUUUUUGCAUCGUCGGGAUGGUCGAGGUAAUUUGGAUCUAUGAGUGGCGGAUCAAAUGGAUCACGACUCCGGAGACGUAUUGUCCCUUUACUCUUAGGGUGGAGCAGGAUCGGAU